CGGGGGAGCAAGCGUUGUUCGGAUUUACUGGGCGUAAAGGGCGCGUAGGCGGCCAGCACAAGUCAGUUGUGAAAUCUCCGGGCUUAACUCGGAAAGGUCAACUGAUACUGUGCGGCUAGAGUGCAGAAGGGGCAACUGGAAUUCUCGGUGUAGCGGUGAAAUGCGUAGAUAUCGAGAGGAACACCUGCGGCGAAGGCGGGUUGCUGGGCUGACACUGACGCUGAUGCGCGAAAGCCAGGGGAGCGAACGGGAUUAGAUACCCCGGUAGUCCUGGCCUUAAACGAUGGAUGCUUGGUGUCUGGAGUUUUAUAGUCUCCGGGUGCCGUAGCUAACGCGUUGAGAAUCCCGCCUGGGGAGUACGGUCGCAAGACUG
rnacentral:rRNA from 1 species